UACGUAGGGUGCAAGCGUUUGUCCGGAAUUAUUGGGCGUAAAGAGCUCGUAGGCGGUCUGUCGCGUCUGCUGUGAAAACUCGGGGCUUAACCCCGGGCCUGCAGUGGGUACGGGCAGACUAGAGUGCGGUAGGGGAGACUGGAAUUCCUGGUGUAGCGGUGAAAUGCGCAGAUAUCAGGAGGACACCGGUGGCGAAGGCGGGUCUCUGGGCCGUAACUGACGCUGAGGAAGCGAAAGCAUGGGGAGCGAACAGG
rnacentral:rRNA from 1 species